rnacentral:rRNA from 1 species
UCGAGAAUCAUUCGCAAUGGGCGAAAGCCUGACGAUGCGACGCCGUGUGAACGAUGAAGGCCUUCGGGUUGUAAAGUUCUUUCGCCUGGGAACAAGGGAAGAUGCCAAAUAAGCAUCUGACUUGAGGGUACCAGGUAAAGAAGCACCGGCUAACUACGUGCCAGCAGCUGCGGUAAUACGUAGGGUGCAAGCAUUAAUCGGAAUUAUUGGGCGUAAAGGGCGCGUAGGCGGGGAUGUAAGUCAGACGUGAAAUCCCGGGGCUCAACCCCGGAACAGCAUUUGAAACUGCAUUUCUAGAGGAUAGGCGGAGAAAACGGAAUUCCACAAGUAGCGGUGAAAUGCGUAGAUAUGUGGAAGAACACCUGUGGCGAAAGCGGUUUUCUAGCUUAGACCUGACGCUGAGGCGCGAAAGCAAGGGGAUCAAACA